UCUUCCGAUCUGGCGCUGGAAGGCGAUGAAGGACGUGGCAAGCUGCGAUAAGCCUCGGUUAGCUGCAAGCAAGCUUACCCGAGGAUUUCCGAAUGGGACAACCCAGCUGGCUGAAGGCCAGUUAUUUUUGGAUGAAUGAAUAGUCCAAAAAAGCUAUACGGGGUGAAGUGAAACAUCUCAGUAACCCCAGGAAAAGAAAAUGAAUAUGAUUCCGUAAGUAGUGGCGAGCGAAAGCGGAACAGCCUAAACCAAGGAACUUGUUCCUUGGGGUCGUGGGACUCCGUUAUGAACGACGAAGAGAAGUGUAACUGUUUGGAAAGACAGACCAUAGCGCGUGACAGUCGCGUGCACGUAAUCGACGAAAAUUCUAGGAGUAUCCCGAGUAAUGCGGGACACGUGAAACCCUGCAUGAAUCAAUCCCGACCACGGGAUAAGGCUAAAUACUAACCAGCGACCGAUAGUGCACAAGUACCGUGAGGGAAAGGUGAAAAGUACCCCUGUUAGGGGAGUGAAAUAGUUCCUGAAACCGUAUGCUUACAAAGUGUAGGAGUCCUCUUUGAGGAUGACUGCGUGCCUUUUGCAUAAUGAGUCUGCGAGUUAUUGUCUGUAGCAAGCCUAAGCUUCGUUGAAGCGGAGGCGAAGGGAAACCGAGUGUGAAAUGCGCGAAUGAGUUGCAGGCGAUAGACCCGAAACGGAGGUGAUCUAUCCAUGGGCAGGUUGAAGCUGCGGUAACACGCAGUGAAGGACCGAACCGGUGUACGUUGAAAAGUGCUCGGAUGACCUGUGGAUAGGAGUGAAAGGCUAAUCAAACCCCGUGAUAGCUGGUUCUCUCCGAAAUAGCUUGAGGGCUAGCGUCGGACAAGUACUUCAAGGGGGUAGAGCACUGAUAGGCCUAGGGCCCUCACCAGGGUACCAACGCCUAAUAAACUCCGAAUACCUUGAAAACCAUUACUCCGGCAGUCAGUCGAUGGGGGAUAAGCUUCAUCGGCGAAAGGGAAACACCCCAGACUACCAGCUAAGGCGCCUAAAUACCGUUAAGUGGAAAGGAUGUAUCGUUACUAAGACAGUGAGGAUGUUGGCUUAGAGGCAGCCACCAUUUAAACAGUGCGUAAUAGCUGACUCAUCGAGUGAUGAUGCGCCGAAAAUGAUUGGCGAUAAACGGUAUGCCGAAGCUGUAGGGCGCAAUUCGAUUCGUCGUUUUGCGUCGGUAGGAGAGCGUAAUCAAUGCAGUGAAGCCAUUCUGUAAGGAAUCGUGGAGCGUUGAUUAGUGAGAAUGCAGACAUGAGUAGCGAUAAACAAGGUGAGAAUCCUUGUCGCCGUAAACCUAAGGUUUCCUGGGCCAGGUUCGUCCUCCCAGGGUUAGUCGGGAGCUAAGACGAGGCCGUAAGGCGUAGUCGAUGCACAGCUAGGUUAAUAUUCCAGCACCGCCUAGGACUUUAUCUAAGAAGAGACGCGGCUUUGGAAAUGACAGCCUUAUCGAAUUGGUAAACUCUGGAUCCCUCGUUGGAGAAGGAGUGUCAUGGAAAAAGUCGCCUAGAAAAAUUCUUAGCGUUAUCCUAGGCGCCCGUACCGCAAACCGACACAGGUAGGUGGGUGUAAAUGCACCAAGGCGCGCGAGAUAAACCUCUCUAAGGAACUCGGCAAAAUUACCCCGUAACUUCGGGAGAAGGGGUGCUCGUAUUUUGCGAGUCACAGUAAAUUGGGUCUGGCGACUGUUUAACAAAAACACAGCCCUCUGCUAAGUCGUGAAGACGACGUAUAGGGGGUAACACGUGACCAAUGCCGUAAGAUUAAGGUAAGGGGUGAGAGCUCUGAACUAAAGUCCCGGUGAAUGUCGGCCGUAACUAUAACGGUCCUAAGGUAGCGAAAUUCCUUGUCGGGUAAGUUCCGACCUGCACGAAUCGUGUAACGACCGGACCGCUGUCUCGGAGUGGUUCUCGGCGAAAUUGUAGUGGCGGUGAAGAUGCCGCCUGCCCGCAGUAGGACGGAAAGACCCUAUGCACCUUUACUAUAAGCUGGUAUUGGGUUCUGAUUUUUAAUGCGUAGCAUAGGUGGGAGACGUUGAAUUGGCAGUUUCGGUUGCCAAGGAGUCAUCAGUGAAAUACCACUCUUUAUUGAUUAGGAUUCUAACCCCAACCCUGUUAGCCAGGUGGGGGACAGUGCCUGCGGGUUAGUUUGACUGGGGCGGUUUCCUCCUAAAAAGUAACGGAGGAGUGCGAAGGUACUCUCAGUACGGUUGGCAACCGUGCGUCGAGCAUAUUGGUAGAAGAGUGCUUAACUGUGAGACCUACAAGUCGAGCAGAUGCGAAAGCAGGCCAAAGUGAUCCGAUGGUUGAAUGUGGAAUUGCCA
rnacentral:rRNA from 1 species